CCCGCUGAACUUAAGCAUAUCAAUAAGCGGAGGAAAAGAAACUAACAAGGAUUCCCCUAGUAACUGCGAGUGAAGCGGGAAAAGCUCAAAUUUAAAAUCUGGCGGUCUCGCGGCCGUCCGAGUUGUAAUCUGGAGAAGCGUUUAUCCGCGUCGGACCGUGUACAAGUCUUCUGGAAGGGAGCGUCAUAGAGGGUGAGAAUCCCGUCUUUGACACGGACAACCGAUGCUUUUGUGAUGCGCUCUCGAAGAGUCGAGUUGUUUGGGAAUGCAGCUCAAAAUGGGUGGUGAACUCCAUCUAAAGCUAAAUAUUGGCGAGAGACCGAUAGCGAACAAGUACCGUGAGGGAAAGAUGAAAAGCACUUUGGAAAGAGAGUGAAACAGUACGUGAAAUUGUUGAAAGGGAAACGCUUGAAGUCAGUCGCGUCGUCCGAGACUCAGCCUCGCCUCGGCUUGGUGUACUUCUCGGAUGACGGGUCAGCAUCAAUUUUGACCGCCGGAUAAAGUCGUUGGGAAUGUGGCAUCUUCAUGAUGUGUUAUAGCCCGUCGUCGCAUACGGUGGUCGGGAUUGAGGAACUCAGCACGCCGCAAGGCCGGGUCGUUUCGACCACGUUCGUGCUUAGGAUGCUGGCAUAAUGGCUUUAAUCGACCCGUCUUGAAACACGG
rnacentral:rRNA from 1 species